GUCGCUCCCAUCGCUCUUUCGUCUUGUCAGCUUUACCAUGUCACAUGAGCCACGUUGAUCCUCGUAUGAUCCCUGUAGCUCGAGCGUGCUUCUAACGGACUCUGCGACAUUUCAUUAAUUUUCGACAUCGUCAGAGAUGCGAUAGGUAAUAGGAACAAUUAAUACUAGGAAGGAACGGCAUUGUUGGUGUCCUUGUGACUCCAGCAGACUUUAUUUCUACCAGGAACUGCAUACCGUUGCAAACAUAUUUCUUUCUAACAGGUUAUGGUAUAAUAAUUCAAAUUAAAAUAUUGGUCUUUACCAUGCAUAAUAAAUAUUUACCGUUAAUAGCUAUCUCAAUGUAAUUCGUGCAUUCAUAGAUAUUUAUUCAUUCUAUCAAUUGAAUUAACUACAUUAAUUGUUAUGUUCAUUAGGUCAAUCGACGUUAUCAAAUUAACGAUAUUUCUUACGUUAUCAGUAAAUCAAGCUUAUAAUUGUACAAUUAUACAUAUACAGGUGUUUUAACGUUCAAUAUUUCUAUACCAUUUUGCUUUCCGCUCGAUCGAAACACACACACACACAUCUCUCAUUUAAAAAUACAAUUUUAAUCCAUUUAAUAAAAUAAUCUUUUACAGAUAGAGGAUACUUCGGUCCGUCGUAACUUGAUGAUAAACGUUUGUCCCGUUGAUACUCGAUUCCAGAAAUCUUUUUCCAUUCGAUAUUCAUUGAAGACUUAUACAUUGGUUUUUAUUUCGAACUUUGUAGUGAUUGCCACUGUCACUUGAUAUCAUUAAUGAGAUAUUUAUAAUAUUAUUUUAUUUUAUUUUUUUAUUUUUUUUUUUUUAAUUUUUUAAGGAUCUCUUCUCUUUCUAUUUUAUCUUCGGAAGUUUAAAGUGCCCGUUUCGAUCGUUCGUGCUGACUCUCUCUUAACUUCACUUUCAUGUCAAUUGCGUUGGCUCCGUCUUGCACCGUAUUAAAGCGUUAAGCAUUACUUCAGUUUGCAUUAUAAAGAUUAAUCAUUCGCCGUGGAAUAAUCGUUUUAUCAUGUGUCUUUUUGAUAAAGGAUUUCUAAAUAUAUUUUGAUGAUUAUGUCAAGUGAUACAACCUGCGUAUGUACAGAUAUACAUACACGGUAUUAGGCUUCGAUAGAAAUUUUGUUGAGAAAUUUGUUGUGCGUCAAAACGUAAACUUACAUAGUCCUCCUACCUUGGAGGUCUUGACGUAGAUCGCUGCAGCUUUUCCCGGCUUUAGCAUUAGUCUGACCAAUGUUUGAUCGAUGACGCAUGGACGACGAAGUCGUAGAGCUAACUACAGGACCUGGUCCAGGACUAGGUGUACGCGACGCAGGUGGCAGACCCAGAAGGGAAUCAAGGACAUCCUCUAGAGUCGUCGACCCGGGGCUUGGUUUGUUUCGCGGUACAGCCGAUGUCAUCGUCAUCUCGAUCAUGUCACCCUGUCCCGAAUCUAAUCGAUUUUAUUGAAAGAAAAGAAAAAAAAAUAGAAAUAGGCACAAGAUCACUCUCUUAGAAGAAGUGAAUAUUUUUACUUAUGGUAUCUCACUUUGUAUUCCCAUAAUGUUAUUGAACUCUUCAUUUAAUCAUCGUAUAUCAUGAAUAAUAUGCGAGAACAUUAUUGUGGGAUUAUCGCGUUUAUCAGUUCAAGCGAGCUGUAUAAUGAACACCGAGUAUUAUUAUAAAUUAGAAAUAGAAGAACAAGAAGAACACGAUCAAAAGCGGCAUGCGCGCGAAUACGGUUUUAGAGAAAACUUUCUUUAUUAUAUAUUAUACUUAAGAAAACGACAAAGUUUUCGUCACGAUUUGCCCGUACGAAUGAAAUUUUUAUAUGAGAUCGAUUUGCACGAGCUUUAUAUGUAGUAAAAAUAGGAAUUUACAUAGGGAAGUGCGCCAGUUGUGUGGCAUGCUACGUAUAUGGAUCGUUUUAUGAAAAAUCACAAGAAAGACAAACGGUAAAAAAACAAUUACAGAUAUCUGUGACUAGCUGUAGCUGCCAACUUUCUUUUCUUUUCUUUUUUUUUUUUCCUUUAUUUUUUCCUUUUAUGUAAAAACUGCAAUGGCUGGUAAAGUCACGAUAGGAAACUAUUGAAGUUUUCAACGUAUCGAAAAUGAGGGUUACUGUGUGAACGUUAUAAAAAAAAAAUUAUCUCGUCUUACGGUUAAUGAAUAUAGGACAUCCAACCUUCUUCGUGUCAUUGCGCAUUCACGGCUUGGCUAUUAUAAUGUCGUUGAAGUAUUUUAUCGUAGAUCGCGAGCUAAAGCCACCGAUAGAAUUAUGCACAUAUAUCAUCUGACCGUGAUUCCGUUUGGGAGCCACGCUGUCGUCUACUAGCCUUGACCUAGAGCUAGACCGAAGUAUGAUCGAAUUGUAGAGAAUUGUUGGACUACGAUAGCUUGUCAAAAGUGGAGAGCUCGUAAAACUUUACUUUGCUUUACGUAAGCAAUUUCAUUUCUUAGUUUUCUUGUUGUUUUUCUCUUUCUUUUUCUUCUUGCACACUUAACGUCUUUUGUAUAGAACCAACGUGCUAUUAUAUUCUACUUUAUGUGAGAAUAAGAAAAAAUGAAAAAAUAAAAAAAAAAGAGAGAAAGAGAGUAAUAAAAAGAAAGAAAGAAAGAAAGAAAAAAAAACAAACAAAAAAAGAAUAUAACAAACACGAUCUCUGAAUACCUAAAACAAAAAGCAUAUAGCGAAAAAUGAUAACAAGCCAAUUAUAAUAACACAAAAUUUGUCACUUACCGUGGCAUGAAUAAUAA